rnacentral:ncRNA from 1 species
GAGCAAAUUUAGGGGAGCCAAAAUAGAGCUGAGAGCCCCUCACCUAUAGGUGAGGGGGACCCUUGGAACCUGUUCGGGUAAUACCGACGAAGGGAAAAUAUGAAACAGUAUC